rfam:Ovis aries breed Texel chromosome 1, whole genome shotgun sequence.
UCCCUGGUGGUCCAGUGGCUAAGACUCUGCACUCCCAAUGUGGAGGGCUUGGUAUCAAUCCCUGGUCAGGGAA